UGAGUACGAGACGCUAAGGCGUCGAAGUAGUGUAUGUCAUACUUCCAAGAAAAGCUUGCACUGUCAUUCAUAAAAAAUGCCUGUACCAUAACCGACACAGGUGGGUAGGUAGAGUAUACUAAGGGGCGCGAGAUAACUCUCUCUAAGGAACUCGGCAAAAUAACUCCGUAACUUCGGGAGAAGGAGUGCCUUAUUUAUAUAAGGUUGCAAUAACAAGAUCCAAGCAACUGUUUACCAAAAACACAGGUCUCCGCUAAGUCGUAAGACGAUGUAUGGGGGCUGACGCCUGCCCAGUGCCAGAAGGUUAAAGAAGUUGGUUAGCAAUAGCGAAGCUGAUAACUGAAGCCCUGGUGAACGGCGGCCGUAACUAUAACGGUCCUAAGGUAGCGAAAUUCCUUGUCGGGUAAGUUCCGACCCGCACGAAAGGCGUAAUGAUUUGGAUACUGUCUCGGAGAGGGACUCGGUGAAAUAGACUUGUCUGUGAAGAUGCGGACUACCUGCACCUGGACAGAAAGACCCUAUGAAGCUUUACUGUAACCUGAAAUUGAAAUUGGACUUUAUUCGCGCAGUAUAGGUGGGAGGCGUUGAAAAUAAUCUUGCGGGACUAUUGGAGCCAUCAGUGAGAUACCACUCUUAUAAUGUUAGAUUUCUAACUUUGAAUCAUUAUCUGGUCAAAGAACAGUUUCAGGCGGGCAGUUUGACUGGGGCGGUCGCCUCCCAAACGGUAACGGAGGCGUACAAAGGUUUCCUCUGAACGGGUAGAAAUCGUAUCUAGAGUAUAAAGGCAAAAGGAAGCUUGACUGUGAGACCUACAAGUCGAGCAGGGACGAAAGUCGGUCUUAGUGAUCUGACGGUACUGAGUGGAAAGGCCGUCACUCAACGGAUAAAAGUUACUCUAAGGAUAACAGGCUGAUCUCCCCCAAGAGUUCACAUCGACGGGGAGGUUUGGCACCUCGAUGUCGGCUCAUCGCAUCCUGGGGCGGUAGUACGUCCCAAGGGUUGGGCUGUUCGCCCAUGAAAGCGGUACGCGAGCUGGGUUCAGAACGUCGUGAGACAGUUCGGUCCAUAUCCGGUGUAGGCGUUAGAAUAUUGAGAGGAGCCUUCUUUAGUACGAGAGGACCGAGAAGGACAUACCUCUGGUGUACCAGUUAUCGUGCCAACGGUAAACGCUGGGUAGCUAUGUAUGGAGUGGAUAACCGCUGAAAGCAUCUAAGUGGGAAGCCCACCUCAAGAUGAGUAUUCUCAU
rnacentral:rRNA from 1 species